AAGUCAUGUGACCGCGGUGUAGUUGGCUGCUGGCGAUUGUAUUUAGGUGAUAUUCAUUUGUGAAAAUCUUCCUGCUGAACACAACUUAGAAUAAUGGAGCUUGAAGCUGAAGGGAAACAUCACAUUAAUGUGGAGGAAGCUGCUUCAAGCUCUCUAAAGUGAAGAGACAUGAAAGGAACAUCACUGUUACAGUUACAGGUGAGGAAUUCCUCUCUGCUUGGAGAUGGAAGGUAUAUGAUCACCAGCCAUAUGAUCAGAUGUCCCUCCUGGAGGCAAUGAAUGCCGGUUGCCUGGCAAUUGGUGCAGAGGACUGCCAGGGAUGGAUACGCCAUGCAGGGAGGUUUUUCCCCUCAGUCCAUUGCAAGGGAAAACAUCCAAAUACAGCGGUGAUGAGAACCUGAGGCUUUAUCAUCAGGACCAAAUGGACUAAAUGAAUCUGAUGCAGUGGAAUAAAACAUUUUUUCUCUAGUAUUUCUGGUUUAAUUCUUCAUCAGUUCUUUGGUGGAGAAAGAAUGCAGAACAAAAGCUGUACCAUACAUCUCUCUCACUGACUUUCCUGUCUCUCUCUCACUCUCUCUCUCACUAUUGGAAUCAAGGCAACGAAUAUCUUAAAAAGAAAAAAGUGAUGAACCCGGCUGGUUGUUAUUCAACGCUUUUAUCAUUUUACACUUUUAAAGUCACAAUUAGGCAAUGAACAACAAGUCCCAGCCAGGUUCAUCACUUAUUUGUGUCCCCUGGAAACACUUCCGCUGUGUUGUGUGUAUCUGCAGCGCAUGUGUUGUCAAAUUGAUGAUGUUUCCUGAAUUUGCAGCACAUUUGUGUAUUUGCAUGUGUUUUCUUAAGGUGCAGUGCAUUGAGCUCUCAGGGCCACUGUAGAAUAUAUUAAUUUGACAACAGGUUGUGUUGCGGUAAUACUUUCAUUCUUUCAUGGGACAUUUCAAUAUCAUAUGUUGAAAGCAAAUCAAGAAUUACAUCAUAUGAAUGACCUUUGUUAAAACAUUCCCAGUGAUUUUAAUGUCCUCCUCAAUCCUUUCAAACUUGGUUUACAAUCUGUGCAAGGAUACUACUGAGAGUAGUGCGCAACAAAAAUAAAUAAAUACAAUGAAACAUACAAAUGUUCAAUGAUGGAUUUUUUUUCAGUUUUAACAAAAUAUUUUACAGUGUGUUAUUGAAACUUUGUGAAGGUUUAAUUUCUUUUACCUUCCUCUUAAUAGUAAAGACUUCGAUAGACUGUGGGACUCAACCCCAAGUUCUGGUUCUGAAGACAUAAAUCCUUACAAACAGCUGAGAAAUAUAUAUCGUCUGUGCAUUUGUUGGGGACUGUUUUCAGCGAUGGAUUAAUCCACAUUUGCUCUGCUGAGUCAAAAUAAACUACAGUGUCUGUGUGUUCAUAGUAAUAGUAAGUCUUACUCAUGUUUUUGACAAACACAGUAGCUCUGUGGCACAGA